GACAGAGGGUGCAAACGUUGCUCGGAAUUACUGGGCGUAAAGCGUGCGUAGGUGGUUCGUUAAGUCUGAUGUGAAAGCCCUGGGCUCAACCUGGGAAUUGCAUUGGAUACUGGCGGGCUAGAGUACGGUAGAGGGUGGCGGAAUUCCUGGUGUAGCAGUGAAAUGCGUAGAUAUCAGGAGGAACAUCCGUGGCGAAGGCGGCCACCUGGACCAGUACUGACACUGAGGCACGAAAGCGUGGGGAGCAAACAGG
rnacentral:rRNA from 1 species